GGAAAGGUGAUGGACCAGUGGCUACAGUCAGGCAUAUCGCUAGCUCAAAGGUUGUGGAGCGUGGAGGUGAUCUACAGGCACCCUUAGCUGACGGUCCGGAGUCCGGUCCAGCGGCUAUACUGACAUGCCCGGAGGAGAAGGGGAAGUCCAGCCUGACAGCGGAACUCCCCGUGCCCAACUCGGCAGAGGGGAGGAGCAGACUGGAGCAGCGAGGAGCUGAAACAAGUUGGGUUAAACUGAAUGCACCGAGGACAGAGUGAAAUGAUCGAGUCCCAAACCCCAGGCAUCAAUGCACUAAGAGAGGCUUGUGAAAUGCCAGUUAUGUCUCCGAUCUGCCUUUGAAAGCUACCAGUGGACAUAAAGCCAAUAGAAGACAGAACUUGAAUAUGUGCAGCAACAGGAUGUGUGCGCUUGGUGUGUCUGUGCAGCCUAGGACCCAACAUCUCACACAAUUCCUUUAGGACUGCCUGGGGAAAGCGGUCUUCCAGAAGUGCAAGACCAGACAUUUUCAAAUGAUGUUUUGACGUAUUACUGUAUGUGAAUUUAUAGAAAAGAAUGAUUUCUUAAUGAUUUCUACA